GAUGGACGCUAGCUACAGGCUUAACACAUGCAAGUCGAGGGGCAGCACUAGGUAGCAAUACUGAGGUGGCGACCGGCGCACGGGUGCGUAACGCGUAUCCAACCUUCCCGUUACUCAGGGAUAGCCUUCCGAAAGGGAGACUAAUACCUGAUGGUAUUCAAAUUUCGCACGUUAAUUGAAUUAAAGAUUUAUCGGUAACGGAUGGGGAUGCGUGACAUUAGGUAGAUGGCGGGGUAACGGCCCACCAUGCCUACGAUGUCUAGGGGUUCUGAGAGGAAGGUCCCCCACGCUGGAACUGAGACACGGUUCAG
rnacentral:rRNA from 1 species